AUUGGUCAAUGGGCGAGAGCCUGAACNNGCCAACCCUUNGUGCAGGAUGACGGCCCUAUGGGUUGUAAACUGCUUUUAUCGGGGGAUAAAGUGAGGGAGGCGUCCCUUUUUGUAGGUACCCGAUGAAUAAGGACCGGCUAAUUCCGUGCCAGCAGCCGCGGUAAU
rnacentral:rRNA from 1 species